rnacentral:rRNA from 1 species
CCCGCUGAACUUAAGCAUAUCAAUAAGCGGAGAAAAAGAAAAUAACAAUGAUUCCCCUAGUAACUGCGAGUGAAGAGGGACAAGCUCAAAUUUUAAAUCUAUCGGGUUUUACCUGAUCGAGUUGUAAUUUGAAGAUGGCGUUUUCUGUGUUUCUGAUCAGUUCAAGUCCUUUGGGAUAAGGCAUCAUGGAGGGUGAGAAUCCCGUUCGGUUGAUCAGAUUCGCUUUACGAUACGUUAUCAAAGAGUCAAGUUGUUUGGGAUUGCAGCUUAAAAUGGGAGGUAAAUUUCUCCUAAGGCUAAAUAACGGCGAGAGACCGAUAGCGAACAAGUACCGUGAGGGAAAGAUGAAAAGAACUUUGAAAAGAGAGUUAAACAGUACGUGAAAUUGUUGAAAGGGAAACGAUUGAAGCCAGUCGUACCUAUGGGUAAUCAGCCUUUUGGGUGUGAUUUUGUGGAGCGUGAGGAGUUAAACGCCUUCAUGCCUGCAUAUUCGUGCACUUUGGGUGUACUUGCCCGUAUGGUUGGUUAACAUCAAUUUUGGUGGUCAUAAAAUGACUGGAGGAAUGUAGCUUCGAUCUCGUAUUGAAGUGUUAUAGCCUUCGGUAGAUGUGAUGAUCGAGAUUGAGGAUUGCAACGGAUACCCUUCGGGGCUACCUGUCUGAUCUCUGAUCGUUGCUCUGGUGCCGAAAGCUUGCUUACGGUUAUCAAAGUCGAUGGUCAAUAGGUUAGAACGGGUUAAAUUCGUUAAGGAUGUUGACGUAAUGGCUUUAAACGACCCGUCUUGAAACACGGACCAAGGAGUCUAACAUAUAUGCGAGUGUUAGGGUGAUUAAACCCUUACGCGUAAUGAAAGUAAUUUUGGUGGGAACAUUUUUGUGCACCAUCGACCGAUCAGGAUAUUUUUUGAUAGAUUUGAGUAAGAGCAUAUCUGCUAGGACCCGAAAGAUGGUGAACUAUGCCUGAAUAGGGUGAAGUCAGAGGAAACUCUGAUGGAGGCUCGUAGCGGUUCUGACGUGCAAAUCGAUCGUCAAAUUUGGGUAUAGGGGCGAAAGACUAAUCGAACCAUCUAGUAGCUGGUUCCUGCCGAAGUUUCCCUCAGGAUAGCAGAAACUCGUUAACAGUUUUAUGAGGUAAAGCGAAUGAUUAGAGGCCUUAGGGUUGAAACAGCCUUAACCUAUUCUCAAACUUUAAAUAUGUAAGAAGUUUAUCGUUACUUAAUUGAACGUGAACAUUCGAAUGAGAGUUUCUAGUGGGCCAUUUUUGG